rnacentral:rRNA from 1 species
GGGCAAGUCUGGUGCCAGCAGCCGCGGUAAUUCCAGCUCCAAUAGCGUAUAUUAAAGUUGUUGCAGUUAAAAAGCCCGUAGUUGAACUUCAGGCCUGGCUGGGUGGUCUGCCUAACGGCAUUGUACUGCUCGGCUGGGUCUUACCUCUUGGUGAGCCAGCAUGCCCUUCACUGGGUGUGUUGGGGAACCAGGACUUUUACCUUGAGAAAAUUAGAGUGUUCAAAGCAGGCAUUUGCUCGAAUACAUUAGCAUGGAAUAAUAGAAUAGGACGUGCGGUUCUAUUUUGUUGGUUUUUAGAGUCGCCGUAAUGAUUAAUAGGGAUAGUUGGGGGCAUUUGUAUUGCGUUGCUAGAGGUGAAAUUCUUGGAUUUACGCAAGACAAACUACUGCGAAAGCAUUUGCCAAGGAUGUUUUCGUUAAUCAAGGACGAAGGUUAGGGGAUCGAAAACGAUCAGAUACCGUUGUAGUCUUAACAGUAAACUAUGCCGACUAGGGAUCGGACGACCUCACAUUGAUGUGUCGUUCGGCGCCUUACGGGAAAC